rnacentral:rRNA from 1 species
CCCUUAGAGUUUGAUCCUGGCUCAGGACGAACGCUGGCGGCGCGCCUAACACAUGCAAGUCGAACGAGAGAGAAGGAGCUUGCUUCUUCGAUCGAGUGGCGAACGGGUGAGUAACGCGUGAGGAACCUGCCUCAAAGAGGGGGACAACAGUUGGAAACGACUGCUAAUACCGCAUAAGCCCACGGGUCGGCAUCGACCUGAGGGAAAAGGAGUGAUCCGCUUUGAGAUGGCCUCGCGUCCGAUUAGCUAGUUGGUGAGGUAACGGCCCACCAAGGCGACGAUCGGUAGCCGGACUGAGAGGUUGAACGGCCACAUUGGGACUGAGACACGGCCCAGACUCCUACGGGAGGCAGCAGUGGGGAAUAUUGCACAAUGGGGGAAACCCUGAUGCAGCGACGCCGCGUGGAGGAAGAAGGUCUUAGGAUUGUAAAC